rnacentral:rRNA from 1 species
UACAGAGGGUGCAAGCGUUAAUCGGAAUUACUGGGCGUAAAGCGCGCGUAGGUGGUUUGUUAAGUUGGAUGUGAAAUCCCCGGGCUUAACCUGGGAAUUGCGUUGGAGACUGCAAGGCUGGAGUCUGGCAGAGGGGGGUAGAAUUCCACGUGUAGCAGUGAAAUGCGUAGAGAUGUGGAGGAACACCGAUGGCGAAGGCAGCCCCCUGGGUCAAGACUGACGCUCAUGCACGAAAGCGUGGGGAGCAAACAGG